UACGGAGGGUGCGAGCGUUGUCCGGAAUCACUGGGCGUAAAGGGCGCGUAGGUGGCGGGCCAAGUCAACGGUGAAAGCUCGACGCUCAACGUCGAGUCGGCCGUCGAUACUGGUUUGCUGGAGCACUGUAGAGGCCAAUGGGAAUUCCGGGGUGUAGCGGUGGAAUGCGUAGAGAUGUGGAGGAAUACCGAUGGCGAAGGCAGCCCCCUGGGCCAAUACUGACGCUCAUGCACGAAAGCGUGGGGAGCAAACAGG
rnacentral:rRNA from 1 species